rnacentral:rRNA from 1 species
CACGUAGGGGGCAAGCGUUGUCCGGAUUUAUUGGGCGUAAAGAGCUCGUAGGCGGCUCAGUAAGUCAGGUGUGAAACCUCCAGGCUCAACCUGGAGACGCCACCUGAUACUGCUGUGGCUAGAGUCCGGUAGGGGAGCGUGGAAUUCCUGGUGUAGCGGUGAAAUGCGCAGAUAUCAGGAGGAACACCUGCGGCGAAGGCGGGUUGCUGGGCCGACACUGACGCUGAUGCGCGAAAGCCAGGGGAGCGAACGGG